UGAGUAACACGUAUCCAACCUGCCGUCUACUCUUGGACAGCCUUCUGAAAGGAAGAUUAAUACAAGAUGGCAUCAUGAGUCCGCAUGUUCACAUGAUUAAAGGUAUUCCGGUAGACGAUGGGGAUGCGUUCCAUUAGAUAGUAGGCGGGGUAACGGCCCACCUAGUCUUCGAUGGAUAGGGGUUCUGAGAGGAAGGUCCCCCACAUUGGAACUGAGACACGGCCAA
rnacentral:rRNA from 1 species